rnacentral:rRNA from 1 species
UACGUAGGGUCCGAGCGUUGUCCGGAAUUACUGGGCGUAAAGAGCUCGUAGGUGGUUUGUCGCGUUGUCCGUGAAAACUCACAGCUCAACUGUGGGCGUGCGGGCGAUACGGGCAGACUGGAGUACUGCAGGGGAGACUGGAAUUCCUGGUGUAGCGGUGGAAUGCGCAGAUAUCAGGAGGAACACCGGUGGCGAAGGCGGUUCUCUGGGCCUUACCUGACGCUGAGGAGCGAAAGCGUGGGGAGCGAACAGG